AGUGAAUAGAUACCCAGGUAGUCCCAGCUGUAAACGAUGCGCGUUAGGUGUAUCGGUGACCACGAGUCAUCGAGGUGCCGAAGGGAAACCGUGAAACGUGCCGCCUGGGAAGUACGGUCGCAAGGCUGAAACUUAAAGGAAUUGGCGGGGGAGCACCACAACGGUGGAGCCUGCGGUUUAAUUGGACUCAACGCCGGGCAGCUCACCGGAUAAGACAGCUGGAUGAUAGCCGGGCUGAAGACUCUGCUUGACUAGCUGAGAGGAGGUGCAUGGCCGUCGUCAGUUCGUACUGUGAAGCAUCCUGUUAAGUCAGGCAACGAGCGAGACCCA
rnacentral:rRNA from 1 species